GACUCGGGGAGGUAGUGACGAAAAAUAACAAUUCAAGACUCUUAACGAGGCCUUGAAGUUGGAAUGAGUACACUUUAAAACUUUUAACGAGUAACUAUUGGAGGGCAAGUCUGGUGCCAGCAGCCGCGGUAAUUCCAGCUCCAAUAGCGUAUACUAAAGUUGUUGCGGUUAAAAAGCUCGUAGUUGGAUCUUGGAAUGUGUUCAAGCGGGUCAGCUUCUGGCUGUGCGCUGCUUGACGUGUUCUUCUAUUUGGUUUUGGUGCGGUGCGCUUAACUGCGUGUCGCUCCCGGCCGAAACGUUUACCUUGAAAAAAUUAGAGUGUUCAAAGCAGACCUGUUUGAGUCUGAAUAUUCGUGCAUGGAAUAAUGAAAUAUGAAUUCGGUUCUAUUUUGUUGGUUUUCGGAACUCGAGUUAAUGAUCAAGAGGGACAGACGGGGGCAUUCGUACUCUGCCGUUAGAGGUGAAAUUCUUGGAUCGGCGGAAGACGCGCAACUGCGAAAGCAUUUGCCAAGAAUGUUUCCUUUAACCAAGAACGAUAGUCGGAGGUUCGAAGACGAUCAGAUACCGUCCUAGUUUCGACUGUAAACUAUGCCAGCUAACGAUCAGACAGAGUUCUCUACGACUUGUCUGGCAGUUUCCGGGAAACCAAAGCGUUUGGGUUCCGGGGGAAGUAUGGUUGCAAAGCUGAAACUUAAAGGAAUUGACGGAAGGGCACCACCAGGAGUGGAGCCUG
rnacentral:rRNA from 1 species